AUCUUUUCUCGGCAUUUAAGCUAAGAUCAGGUGUCUUAUCUGUUUUUAUCAGUUUAAUAUCGGAUACAUCCUUUGUCUGAGGACCAUAUACACUCAUGGCCGUAAAUGUUGGCACCCCUGAAAUUUUUCGAGAAAACAAAGUAGUUCUCACAGAAAAGAAUUGCAGUAACACAUGUUUAGCUAUACACAUG